rnacentral:misc_RNA from 1 species
UUAAGUUCAGCGGGUAAUCCUACCUGAUUCGAGGUCAAACUUCAGAAAGUUGGGGGUUUAACGGCGUGGGCACGCUGUUUUCCAGUGCGAGGUGUGCUACUACGCAUAGGAAGCUACAGCGAGACCGCCACUAUAUUUGGGAGACGACGUCGCCCCCGAGGGGACUCAUGUCGAUCUCCAACACCAAACCCGGGGGUUUG